UACAGAGGGGGCAAGCGUUAUUCGGAAUUAUUGGGCGUAAAGGGCGCGUAGGCGGUUCUUCAAGUCUCUCGUGAAAUCCCUCGGCUUAACUGAGGACGUGCGGGAGAUACUGAAGGGCUUGAGUCCGGAAGAGGGUGGUGGAAUUCCCAGUGUAGCGGUGAAAUGCGUAGAUAUUGGGAGGAACACCGGUGGCGAAGGCGGCCACCUGGGCCGGAACUGACGCUGAGGAGCGAAAGCGUGGGGAGCGAACAGG
rnacentral:rRNA from 1 species